rnacentral:rRNA from 1 species
GUGUCAGCCGCCGCGGUAAUACGUAGGUGGCAAGCGUUGUCCGGAAUUAUUGGGCGUAAAGGGCGUGUAGGUGGAUCUUUAAGUCGUGUGUCUAAGUGCGGGGCUCAACCCCGUAUAGGCGCAGGAAACUGGGGAUCUUGAGUGCAGGAGAGGAAAGUGGAAUUCCCAGUGUAGCGGUGAAAUGCGUAGAUAUUGGGAGGAACACCAGUGGCGAAGGCGACUUUCUGGACUGUGUCUGACACUGAGGCGCGAAAGCUAGGGGAGCGAACGGGAUUAGAAACCCCCGUAGUCC